rnacentral:lncRNA from 1 species
CGGGAAGGAUGGCUGGGACUGCACAGAGCUGAAUCCUGUUGGUCUGUUCCCUCAUCACUGCUGAGCUUGUGGGAAUCAGGUGGGAGUCUGGGUAGGUGUCAGGACCUUUUGGACUCUUACUCUCUCCUGUUUGACACACUCUUACUGUGCCCUGACAGUUGUUUUCAGAAUAAAUUAUCCGUCACUGCUUCUUUCCUGUCCUUUUACUUUCAUUCCAGUAAAGUUCAGAGGCAAGGAUCUGACUACAAUUUUACUGUCUUUGCUUUUGACACCUCCAUAGCUGCCAAGCAGAGUGGUUAUCUCUAUGAAAUGUCAUUGCUGGAACUCAGAUUCUGGAGCACCCUCUGGCCCCACACCCCUCAGAAGCUGAGAAGGGCCGGGUGCUCCUCAGCAGUGCUGCUGCUCCCAGGCCUAUUGAAGGUACUGCUGAACCUUUCCCAGGAACUUGUCUCUGCAUGCUGUGAAGACAACAUGCUCUCUGCUGUUUGGAUCAAUGCUACAAGGACCAUGGGAGUUGGUGAGGUUGUCUUGUUGAAUAUAACCUGUCUCUUGCUCUUCACAUGAGCUCUUUAAUGAUUUUCUAAUAUUGCAAAAUUCAAGUCUCUGGUGGGUAACUGGGAAAUGUUUGCCAACAGCUCUUCUGCAGCGCAGGAUUGACUUUUGUAACAGGAAUCAUUGCGGGGACAGGAUUCAUUCGCAAUCCAUAUCCUUCUCCUCUUCACUGGGACAGGAGUUGGCAGCCAGGGGUUGGCAGAUGCUUAUCAAAAUGUCUAUUACUAAACAAAAACUGGCUUUUAGUCUACAUGUGUUUCUAGCUAAUGAGAACUACCUGUUUGUAUCCUUUCCCCAGAUAAUGCGAAGUUGGUUUAUUUUUCCCAAUUAAUGCAUAGUUAUUUGGAUUAAAAGCAGGCUAUGCUGUGUAACCCUCCUGCCAAGUACUUAAACUCCUAAUUAACUGGUCCUCUUAGGACUUGGUUCUUUUCUAUGAGCAAUGCCAGUAUUGCUAAAAUUUGUAGUGUGGUCAAGAAUAGCCUGUGCUUUCUGCUUGGCACUUCCAGGAACACUUUGUUCAUGAAACAAGAUAGGUUUUCCCACCUUUAUUUUGGGGAUUUUUUCCCUCUUUUUGGACCUGAUGGUAGCAUUCUCAUCUUAUCCAAUUUGAUCCACAUAUUCCCUACCUCAUCUAUCUGAACAUCAAUAAAUUUAUUGCCAAAACUUUAGUCUUAAAAAGAAACCUUACCCCAUGCAGAAAUGGCCUUGGUGAUGCUGUCUACACAGCUGUUGCCAGUUAAUGGAGCAGUGGGCUCUUCCUUUAAAAAGAAAUGGUAUUUAGGGGCUGGGGAGGAGAAAGUGUUUUGAAUGAGACCUUAGUGAGACUGUGCACCAGCUGGAGCAUGGUGAUUUUUGCUAU